GCGUGCUUAGUUCAUCGGCUAGAACGCUUUCCUGAUAAGAAAGAGGUGCAAGGUUCGAUUCCUUGAGCACGCACAA
rnacentral:tRNA from 1 species